ACUUCGGACAUCCGAUGGUGGUGAAAGUUUUUCGGUCAGGGAUGGGCCCGCGGCCUAUCAGCUAGUUGGUGGGGUAAUGGCCUACCAAGGCGACGACGGGUAGCUGGCCUGAGAGGGCGACCGGCCACACUGGGACUGAGACACGGCCCAGACUCCUACGGGAGGCAGCAGUGGGGAAUAUUGCGCAAUGGGCGAAAGCCUGACGCAGCGACGCCGCGUGAGGGAUGAAGGCCUUCGGGUUGUAAACCUCUUUCAGCAGGGACGAAGCGAAAGUGACGGUACCUGCAGAAGAAGCACCGGCUAACUACGUG
rnacentral:rRNA from 1 species